UAACAAACUCCAAAUCCAAUUAACAAAAUAAUGUCCAAGCAUCAAGAUUAAUAUCGAAUUAAUAAAGUUAAAUCCAAACCAAUUCAGUAUAGGCCUCAGGGAAUUGUGUUAAGCAAAAUCGGUUGGGCUUUACACCAGGAGGCCCAACAGCCUCAGAUCCAAGGCCUGGGGUUGUGUUCACUACACGGAGAUGCAAGACCAAGCUCUGUUUGGGCCUUAAGGAGGUUAGGCCCAAAGUACAUGGAUAAGGAGGGAAACGGAGAAGCCUCACGCCAUUCAUCUUCUUCACGUUCAUCGGCCCCGAAACAGAGGAAAUGAGUUCCGUCGCACCUAACCGCGACGAAGAAACUAACCGCGCCAGUUCUCGCCACCGGAAGCGGCGGUGGUUCUAAAUGCGAAUCCUAAUCGCGAAUUAAAAUCGAAGCCUCGCAGAAUUACCUUCGGUGACGCGUUCGGCUUCGGAGACCACAGAGUAUGGAGGAGAUGACUCUUUCUAUCUUCCUCCAAAUUUGGUUCUAAUCUGCCUCCUAGUUCGACACCUCGCGCUUCCUAUCUGCAGAUCGAUAGUGACGUUGGAGUCGAUGAGAAAUAGUGUCGACACUGCGACGACGACCGAAUUCUUUAUCAAUCGGACUCGAAUCUUGACGCCAUUGAAUCAGGUAAUUGCAGGAGUGAGAUUGAAGGUCAUUCACGGAUCUAUGAAGGUUCGGUUAUAUGACGGUGAUCGGUACGUGCGUUGAAUCGCGGUGGAGACGGUGGUUGGUUUGUGGUUUGAUGGAGGUUGCGAUCGGGAAUUGGUUACGGUUGGGAAGAAAGUGGUGGAGGAUUCGGUUAGAGGGAAGGAGAAAGAGAGAAGAACGAGUUCGUUUACGAGCUGAGAGAGAGCUUCAAUACUAGUUCAUGCUCUUAUAUAGAGCUGUUUGAGUUUGGAUGUGAGGUUUUGUUAGUUGGGUGUGGCGUUAGCGAUUUCGUUUAAACUGCAUUUUUUUUUGUUGGCUCAUGGCUUUAGUAGCCCGUGUUGCUGUGGUUGCGUUUAUGCAGCUAGUAUUGAAGUUUUUGUCGGCGUGCGACUUGGGAGGUGCUGGCUUAGAAGCUUGUGCACCGCUUAUUGUAGCAGCUUGUUAGGCAUGAAUUUUCAUCGUCGCGUUUCAGCUGUUUUCGUUUUUGGCUCCCAGUUUUUAUAGCUUCUCAAUUUGCUCUCUCAAUGUGUUAUGCAGCUUGGAGCUUUGCGUUGGCUUGGCAUUUACACUACAGCUGGUUGAAUGUUGUUAGGCAGCUUGUUGAUGUUAUGGAGUUACCUGCAUUUUGGCUUGUGCAGUUUCCAUCGCCCUUUUAAUUUGGUUCGCUGAGUUUGGCCUGGCUUGGACACCGUAGCUUGUAGUCGUUGCAACUUUUGGAGUUUGGCUGCUGAAUUAGCAGCUUUGGAUGCUCAGCGUUCUUGCAUACGUGUACUCGCGUUUCAUGUUGUUGCCAUUUAGCUUGUAUUUCCACUGCAACUUGAUGCUUCACUUGGCAGCUUUUUCA